rnacentral:rRNA from 1 species
GACGAACGCUGGCGGCGUGCUUAACACAUGCAAGUCGAACGGAAAGGCCCUGCUUUUGUGGGGUGCUCGAGUGGCGAACGGGUGAGUAACACGUGAGUAACCUGCCCUUGACUUUGGGAUAACUUCAGGAAACUGGGGCUAAUACCGGAUAGGAGCUCCUUCUGCAUGGUGGGUGUUGGAAAGUUUCGGCGGUUGGGGAUGGACUCGCGGCUUAUCAGCUUGUUGGUGGGGUAGUGGCUUACCAAGGCUUUGACGGGUAGCCGGCCUGAGAGGGUGACCGGCCACAUUGGGACUGAGAUACGGCCCAGACUCAUACGGGAGGCAGCAGUGGGGAAUAUUGCACAAUGGGCGGAAGCCUGAUGCAGCAACGCCGCGUGCGGGAUGACGGCUUUCGGGUUGUAACCCGCUUUCGCCUGUGACGAAGCGUGAGUGACGGUAAUGGGUAAAGAAGCAACGGCUAACUACGUG